GACGUAGGGGGCGAGCGUUGUCCGGAUUUAUUGGGCGUAAAGAGCUCGUAGGCGGCUUGUCGCGUCGAAUGUGAAAUCUCAGGGCUCAACUCUGACAUUGCAUUCGAUACGGGCAGGCUAGAGUUCGGUAGGGGAGACUGGAAUUCCUGGUGUAGCGGUGAAAUGCGCAGAUAUCAGGAGGAACACCGAUGGCGAAGGCAGGUCUCUGGGCCGAUACUGACGCUGAGGAGCGAAAGCGUGGGGAGCGAACAGG
rnacentral:rRNA from 1 species